rnacentral:rRNA from 1 species
CAGCAGUAGGGAAUCUUCGGCAAUGGGGGGAACCCUGACCGAGCAACGCCGCGUGAGUGAAGAAGGUUUUCGGAUCGUAAAGCUCUGUUGUUAAGGAAGAACGAGUGUGAGAAUGGAAAGUUCAUGCUGUGACGGUACUUAACCAGAAAGGGACGGCUAACUACGUGCCAGCAGCCGCGGUAAUACGUAGGUCCCGAGCGUUGUCCGGAUUUAUUGGGCGUAAAGCGAGCGCAGGCGGUUAGAAAAGUCUGAAGUGAAAGGCAGUGGCUCAACCAUUGUAGGCUUUGGAAACUGUUUAACUUGAGUGCAGAAGGGGAGAGUGGAAUUCCAUGUGUAGCGGUGAAAUGCGUAGAUAUAUGGAGGAACACCGGUGGCGAAAGCGGCUCUCUGGUCUGUAACUGACGCUGAGGCUCGAAAGCGUGGGGAGCGAACAGGAUUAGA